UAUCUCUGUAGAGUCUGCAUAUCAAUAAGCGGAGGAAAAGAAACUAACAAGGAUUCCCUAGUAACGGCGAGUGAAGCGGGAAGAGCUCAAAUUUGAAAUCUUCAAGGUUUACCUUGACGAAUUGUAGUUUAUAGAAGUGUUUUCGUUAGUAGGAGUAGUAAAAGUUCUUUGGAAUAGGACAUCAUAGAGGGUGAGAAUCCCGUAUUUGACUAUUCUUUCUAGCUUUGUGAUACACUUUCAAAGAGUCGGAUUGUUUGGGAAUGCAGUCCAAAAUGGGUGGUAAAUUUCAUCUAAAGCUAAUAUUGGCGAGAAACCGAUAGCGAACAAGUACCGUGAGGGAAAGAUGAAAAGAACUUUGAAAAGAGAGUUAAACAGUACGUGAAAUUGUCAAAAGGGAAGCGUUUGACACCAGUGUUGUUUUUCCGAAAAUCAAUUAAAAAUUGAUUCAUGCCAGGUUGUAUUGACCUUAUCAGCUUGCAAUUUGGUUUUGGGUCUCUUUUUGAUGCACUUUUCGGUUAACAAGUCAACAUCAAUUUCCUUUGCUGUAAAAAGGUAAGAGGAAGGUGGCUUCAAUUUCGGUUGAAGUGUUUAUAGCCUUUUAUCUCUGCAGUCGGGAGAUUGAGGUCUGCAGCGUAGAUCCUUCGGGGCUAGAUACAUUUAUGCUAAGUUAUAGCUUUUCAUAGACAACUUGUUGACUAUGUUUAGUCAUGUAGCUUACUCGUAAGUGCUAUUUUACCUACGCUUAGGAUGUUGAAGACUCUACAGAGAU
rnacentral:rRNA from 1 species